GGGUGAACAAGCAAACGGCGUCGUCGCUGGGCCAGCAGGAGAUCGCCGCGAGGAAGCCAACCAGGAAUUAGCUGCGCCUGCGGCCAGGUCGGAGAGAAAACUGCCUGAAAAGUCGCCGGGAGCAGCCCAGUGGCAAUGAGAGAACGAGCACAAGCAGGGAGAGCGGCAGGCAGACGGAGAAGGAGAAGAAGCAGACUCUCCACCGAGCAGAGAGCCUGACAUGGGGCUUGAUUCCAGGACCCUGAGAUCAUGACCUGAGCUAAAGGCAGAUGCUUAACUGACUGAACCACCCUGGUGCCCCAAGGCUGUUUCACUUUCUUACCAUUUGUGUGUCCACUGGAGUAGCAAUUUUAAUUUCCUUCAGAAACUUUUCUUUUGCAUUCACAAUUUGACUGUUUGAUGCAAGAGGCCCGGCUUCUGCCCUAUCUUGGCAUUCAACAUCUCUUCCCCACUAAGUUUAAUCAUUUUUAGCUCUUGAAGACCUGUAACUCUUCCCUUCACUUGAACACUUAGAGGACAUUGUAGGGUUAUUAACUAGCUUAAUUUCAAUAUUGUGUCUCAGGGAAUAGGGAGGCCUGAGGAGAAUGAGAGAGAAGGGGAACGGCUGGAGGGUGGAGCAAACAGAACACACACAAUAUUUAUCAAAUAAAUUUCCUGCCUUAUGUGGCACAGUUCAUGGUGCCCCAAAACAAUGACAACAAACAGUAACAUCAAAGAUCCUUAAUAAGAGAUCACCAUAACAAAUAAUAAUAAUAAUAAUAAUGAUAUGAAAAAGUUUGACGUAUUAUAAGAAUUACCAAAAUGUGACACAGAGAUACAAAUGACAUCGGGAAAAAGGCACAAAUAGAUUUGCUGAUGCAAGGCUGUCACAAACCUUCAAUUUGUGAAAAAAAAAAAAACACAAAAAACAAAACCCUACUAUAUGCAAAGCUCAAUAAAGCAAAGUACAAUAAAACAAGGUAUGCCUGAAUAGAGACUUUAUCACUUGCUCAAGGUCAUAUAGCUAGUCCGUGGCCAAGAUGAAGUUCCUGGUGAUACAGGUCCAGAGUCUAGGCCCUUCGCCACUCCAUUACUCCACUAGUUGUAUUUAAAAACAACUGGUGUGGUGAGUGCUGUAAAGUGUGUAAACCUGGCGAUUCAUAGACCUGUACCCCUGGGGCUAAUAAUUCAUUAUAUGUUAAUAAAAAAAUAAAAACAACUGGUGUUUCUCAGAUCGGGGGGAGGUUUUCAACCAUUCUUCACAUAAUCUGAAUCACAGAAACCAAAAGAGGGUUUAUACUCACUUGGGAUAAAAACUAGCAGAAUGGUCCCUCAGGUGCCAAACUACUAGGUUGAGGACACAAACCCACUCCUCCAGGCUUGUUUAAGAAUGUGCCACCUGUGGGGUUGCUGUCUUGACAUUUUUAAUAAUUUUGUCAUUGAAAGGUUCCAGGGUGGCUGCUCAGUUGUUAAGCACCUGCCUUUGGCUCAGGUCAUGAUCCCAGGGUCCUGGGAUCAAGCCCCACAUUGGGCUCCCUGUUCAACGGGGACCCUUCCCUCUCCCACUCCCCCCCCCACUUGUGUUCCCUCUCUCUCUGCCUCUUUCUCUGUCAAAUAAAUAAAUAAAAUCCUUAAAAAAUAA